CUUAGUUAAGAUGACAUUUUACAAAAAUAAUUACUGAAUUCAUCAACAGAGUAAAAUGCCUCUUGUAGCAGGAAAGAUUUAACACAGUUUUUAAAAGCCUUGAACUCGAGGUUUUUAUAGGUGUCAGGUAACAUGUUAAAUAAUUUAAUACAGUAAUAACUUGUGCUGUUUCUAGUACGUGAUAAUCGCAGAAAAUUUGGUCUGAGUAAAUGCCGGAAUCUGGUGGAGUAUGUAUGAUCAAACGAAUCAUAUUUGUUUAAGUUUUGAUGAGUAUAUAGAAGACAUUGCAAAAUAUAAGUGCAGGGAACCGUUAAAAUUUUGAAGUUUCUGAAAUAUUGACGACAGUCACUCUGAUAGUGACAGCCAGCAAUAAUUCUGAUACAUUUUCUUUGUAUUUUGAAUAAUUUAGCUGUAUGUGGCGAAUGACCCCAAGCAAGGAUGGCAUAUGAAAGAACACUGUGAAAUAUGGCAUGAUAAACUGAUAAUAAAGUUUUAGUCGAUAAGGUAGAUACAGUCCGGGACAUUUCUAUUUGGACAUAAAAAAUUUGAAUUUUCUGACAUUUAUACGUGUAUUCAGCGUCUAUGUGAACAAAAAAUGUUCUCUCUCUCAUUCAUUCUAUGGUCCUUGCGCUUUAAUAACAGGGACAUUUUUUAAAUUGGUAGCAUUAGAAAAUGACAGUAAACAGCUGACUGAUGUAAACAAUAACACAAUAACAAAGGAAAUGUUAUAAUUUUAAUCUAUAUAACCAGUGGCUGCUUUAAAAGUAGAAACAUUACUUGUCAUAUAACAACUACUUAGAUUAUAUGAUGAGACGGGAAUGGCACAACACAGAAUUGCAGUCAGUGAUUGUGCUGAAGAAAGCUGCUGUGACGUACUGACAGAACUGACUAUCGCUGGUUGUACGAUUUGUGCAAUUUGUGAUAUAUUUUGUGUGAAAAACUGAAAAACAAAGUGCAUAACUGCAUAACCUCACUUAUCGCAGUUUUGCACAUUUUGAUGAUGGGAAUUGCGGUUCAAGUAAUUAUGAGUUAUAGAUGGAGCCCACUGUUUACUUCAAAAGGGUUAGCUGAAGCCUUUUGGGUCCACUUUUUUCGUUGUUAUUUCCUGGUAGCCACUCUUGUUUCAACCAGAAUGGCUGUAAAGUUAAAAAUAAUCCCAUAAAAUUGUUAAUAUAACUCCUUUGCACUGGCAUGGGGUAUUUGAAAACUUACGUUUAACA